CAAGAGUGGAGGGAAUUCCCUUGCACAGUGAGACCUGGAGGCUGUUGCAGAGUGUUGGUGCUGGACACAAAAGCACUCGGAGAAUAUCUCUGAUUCCCCAGGUCUCAGCAAUUCCUGGGGUUGUCCAGAUAUCAGGACAAGUAAACUAUGGGGUAAGAGCUGCUCUUUUUCCUUCUGUCUCUGUGAAAGCUUUUCCGAGGAGCUUCAGAAAGCGCGGGAGAGGAAGAGCUGGCUGUGGCAGCAGGAGGAAGAUGGAUCCUGCCCUAAACCCAGUGAGUGCCAGCUCAGAUCCAAAUCCUGCCACAACCUGGUGCUGUUUGGGACAGCUGAGAGUUUUCUGAGAGGCUGUAUACAGUAACCAGAUAUGGAAUGUGGUGUGGAGAGGGAUUUGAUGCUUUGAAAAGAGGAAAUUCCCCUCUCCCAGCGAAGGAAACGUGCUGUGCCUCAGAAGGCUCGAGGAGCGUUUGGCUGCUGUGAGCAGGAAGAGAAAAGCAUUUCAUUUUGAACUUGAAAGCAAAACUGGGUUUCAAGUGAACAGCAGAGCAGCAGUGUCACUGGCAAAGUCUGCAGCUCGGGUGAGCUGCACAGUUCCUUCACUGAAAUGUAAAUAUGUGGGCAAGAAAGGAUAUACAGGAAGGCCUUUCCCUGAGGUUUUCCUUUGAAGGAAUGGCAGAAGCCUCCCCAGAUUUUGUGCAUUUAUGAAAUUGACCUUUUUGAAAUGAGAGCUGCAAGAGAAAGGGGGAUCUGCGAGAGAUGCUGGAUCAGUAGCUGUCUACAAACUGCCUUUAGUGGUCUGAAUAUUAUGGUGUUUCUGAAAAACCUAUUUUCAAGCCCAAAAAAAAAAAAAAAAACCUCUUCUUCAAACUCAAAAAUGCUGUAAAACACCAGCUUUGAAGCAAAGCUUCA